rnacentral:rRNA from 1 species
AUCGAAAGGUUGGCUAAUACCGCAUACGCCCUACGGGGGAAAGCUAGGGACCUUCGGGCCUGGCGUUAAUGGAGCGGCCGAUAUCUGAUUAGCUAGUUGGUGGGGUAAAGGCCCACCAAGGCGACGAUCAGUAGCUGGUCUGAGAGGACGACCAGCCACACUGGAACUGAGACACGGUCCAGACUCCUACGGGAGGCAGCAGUGGGAAUUUUGGACAAUGGGCGCAAGCCUGAUCCAGCCAUUCCGCGUGAGUGAAGAAGGCCUUCGGGUUGUAAAGCUCUUUCGCAAGGGAAGAAAGAUUACUCUCUAACAUAGAGUGAUUAUGACGGUACCUUGAUAAGAAGCACCGGCUAACUACGUGCCAGCAGCCGCGGUAAUACGUAGGGUGCGAGCGUUAAUCGGAAUUACUGGGCGUAAAGCGUGCGCGGGCGGUUUUGUAAGUCAGAUGUGAAAUCCCCGAGCUCAACUUGGGAACUGCGUUUGAAACUACAAGACUAGAAUAUGUCAGAGGGGGGUAGAAUUCCACGUGUAGCAGUGAAAUGCGUAGAGAUGUGGAGGAAUACCAAUGGCGAAGGCAGCCCCCUGGGAUAAUAUUGACGCUCAUGCACG